rnacentral:rRNA from 1 species
CCUACGGGCGGCAGCAGUGGGGAAUAUUGCACAAUGGGGGAAACCCUGAUGCAGCGACGCCGCGUGAGUGAAGAAGUAUUUCGGUAUGUAAAGCUCUAUCAGCAGGGAAGAAAAAAGACGGUACCUGACUAAGAAGCCCCGGCUAACUACGUGCCAGCAGCCGCGGUAAUACGUAGGGGGCAAGCGUUAUCCGGAAUUACUGGGUGUAAAGGGAGCGUAGACGGCAAUGCAAGUCCGGAGUGGAAUGCGGCAGCUCAACUGCCGAACUGCUCUGGAAACUGUAUGGCUUGAGUGCAGGAGGGGUAAGCGGAAUUCCUGGUGUAGCGGUGAAAUGCGUAGAUAUCAGGAGGAACACCGGUGGCGAAGGCGGCUUACUGGACUGUAACUGACGUUGAGGCUCGAAAGCGUGGGGAGCAAACAGGAUUAGAUACCCCUGUAGUC